CGCCCGUGGCCCUGCCCCCUCCCUCCCGCAGGCUGCCCGGCGAAGGGCCGCGGCCCGGCGCGGCAGCGGGAGCCGGAGCGGGAGCGGAGCGGGCCGGGCCGGACCCACCGCGGCCCCCGGAGGCGGCGGCCCUGCUCGACGGCAGUGCCAUGAGGUGACCUUAAAGCGGGGACGGCGACAUGUUGUGACCGCCGGGCCGGCCGUGAGAGAAGCCAGCCGGACACGGCGGCGGCGGCGGAGCCGGGCGGUUUGAACGGAGAGAGCCACGGACAGAGCGGAGGGGCCGCGGCGUGCCAGCGGCCGUGGGGAAGGUGCUCCUGACGCCCCGUCACCGCAGUGCUGACGCUGUGUUUCGCCUCUUUUAACGGCUGACGCCUGCUGUCUGUGGCAAGUUCCUGUGGACUUUCCCAUCAAAGCAUGCACAUGGUUCAGCCUACUUCUGUCAUGGCCCAGGAGGUCAAGGUAAAUGUGUAGUGUUUUCUAACAGUUGUCACCUGCAGCUGGUCUCAUUUCAGUCCCUUAGCUAAUAGUUGUCAUGUAUUUCUCAUAGUCAAGUCCAAUAGUUCAGAAAAGGUUACCAAUACUUUAGUCAUCAGUCCCUCCAAGUAACACACAAUUCAACAACUUGAAUGCCUUUCUCAGUGACUAGCCAGCACAUAGACCUCUCCACUUGUUGACAAUAUUUAUUUCUGUCCAAAUGGCCCUGGUAGCAUCUUAUCUAAGCGAAUCUAUCUUUCUGUCUCCUGGGACAACUGAGAGACUUGAAGAAACAAAAACUGUUAGAUUCCUGGGGAGGGUACCAGGAGGUGUGGUUGGAGGACGUUAGGCACGUUUCCAAAAUGUAUGUUGACUAAGUCUUGAAAAGCUCUUCAGUAAGUUUCAGUUUCCUCAACCAUGUGCAGUGUUCCUGUGUCAGUCACAUUCAAAGGCUGUCUAGACAAAAUAUCAUCAAUGCCAGAGUCUUGGCAGACGUGUGUUCUUGCUACAGAUUGUACCUCCACAAGCAGAGAUUUCAUCCUUGACAUCACAGAAGCACGUAGAAGUUCUUUCUGUUUCCAAAAACUGUUACCAGUUUUUUGAGAAAAGUGAUUUUAUGACUUGAAUCUGAAAAGCGAUUUGGAUUAUUUUUUUUUAUCUGUCCAUUUGUAAAGGGACAUUCCUUUCCAAUCUCAGUAUCAGCAAAUGUCUUGGAGAUUUAGGUAGCUGGCUUUGCAGGGUGCUGUGUGAAAUGAUUUACAGUUAUCUGCAGGUAAUAUAAUUUUGAAUCGAAUUAUGAAGAACUAGUAGUUUGGACUCUAAAACACAAGACACAGUAUUAUAAAUGUGUGCAUUAAUCUGAACAGUAGACUUGCAGCCUCACACUGUUUACGGAAGUUGGGCAUUAUGAGGAAGUUGCUUAAUACAAAGCUAAAGACUGUAAUGUUUGUUCCUGUCCAUCCGUAAUAUUUUGGAUGUUCAUAUCUAAGUAAGAUUUUCUUGGAUGCCAAUAUUCAUGCUUAAUCUCUCCUGUCCUUGAAUGAAGACUGAAAAUAAGCGCAACUGAUGACUUCUUUUAACUGUCUGCUGUGAUUCUGAUGACUGACUCAGUCUUUUUGUAGUUGUGACUGCGGUGGCAACAUUCUCUAAAACACCCAUGUCAACGGAAUGUUUUUCUGGUUUAUGAAGCAAUGUACUGGCAGCAAGUUUUGCCAUUACACUGGUGACGCUCCUCACUGUGGCCGCUAACAUUUCUCCACUCCAGACUUACCUCCCUGGUAUAUAGAGGUUGUACAUACUUUUCCCACUUAUGCAAAAAGUGGUAAAGAUAUCUGCCUAGUACCUGUGGAUUCCAAAACACCCCAGAAAAGAGAGCAGUAUCCUUUUUGUUAUAGAGUGGGAAACUGAGGUACGAAGAGGUAAAGGAUUGCUGUCGAAACCAGUCGGUGAGGCCAGCUCUUCAAAGCAGUGAACUGAACAUUGAGGCUAGUUGAAAACUGCAACAUGUUGCUUUCAUUCAGCCUCACAACACCACAAAGCCCCAAAGUUAGGUCCUGUGGAAAUGGCAAGGAACCAGAUUCAGAGGAGAUAUUUCAAGAGAUGUGCCUAAAAUUUCUUGUAUAGCUGCCUUUGUUAGACUCAGAUUCACCAUUCUGUGCUUUAGUAGUGGACUGCUGCGCUGUGUUGCACCACAACCCAUAAAUUCAUUGUUGAGCCUCAGAGCCGAAAGUUAAAUUAGGGUGAAAAUGGUGCCAAUACAAAAUGAUUCUUUGCAACAAGUUUGUCAGCUAUGUACCUUUCCCGGCUUGUACCACUGUUCAGUUCUGUAAAUACUUGAAGUAGCUGAAUUAAAGAUAAUAGUACUUGAAUUAGAGAUAACAGAAUAUUCCCGCAUACACUGCAACCACACACCUGCCUUUAUAAACACACAUCUGUUGAGGGAUCUGUUGCACCAACUUGUCUAAAAUGACAGGAUCCUUGCUGUUGCAGGGGUUUUGUUCUUCAGCCUCUCUUGGCUCUCUUACUGUUGUUGUGAGAGGAGGCAAAAAUUAAUAGAAUUUGUAUUCUGGAAUAAAGUGGAGCCUGUGGGUGCCGAAAUAAGA